rnacentral:rRNA from 1 species
AACAGGAUUAGAUACCCUGGUAGUCCACGCAGUAAACGAUGAAUACUAACUGUAUGCGAUAUAGUGUAUGUAGUAAAGCGAAAGCGUUAAGUAUUCCACCUGGGGAGUACGUUCGCAAGAAUGAAACUCAAAGGAAUUGACGGGGGCCCGCACAAGCGGAGGAACAUGUGGUUUAAUUCGAUGAUACGCGAGGAACCUUACCCGGGCUUGAAAUGCAGAGGAAUUAUUGGGAAACCGAUACGCCAGCAAUGGUCUCUGUGUAGGUGCUGCAUGGUCGUCGUCAGCUCGUGCCGUGAGGUGUCGGCUUAAGUGCCAUAACGAGCGCAACCCCUAUCAUUAGUUACUAGCAGGUUAGGCUGAGGACUCUAAUGAGACUGCCGCCGUAAGGUGUGAGGAAGGUGGGGAUGACGUCAAAUCAGCACGGCCCUUACGUCCGGGGCGACACACGUGUUACAAUGGGGGGUACAGAGGGUUGCUACUUGGUGACAAGAUGCUAAUCUCUUAAAGCCUCUCUCAGUUCGGAUCGAAGUCUGCAACUCGACUUCGUGAAGCUGGAUUCGCUAGUAAUCGCGCAUCAGCCAUGGCGCGGUGAAUACGUUCCCGGGCCUUGUACACACCGCCCGUCAAGCCAUGGAAGCUGGGGGGACCUGAAGUACGUAACCGUAAGGAGCGCCCUAGGGUAAAACUAGUAACUGGGGCUAAGUCGUAACAAGGUAACC